GGAUCUAACUGCUUUUGUUUUACAAGUUACAGGUCCCAACCAUAAGUGAGAGACAAACCGAGGGUUAAAAUGUCCAUAGAACGGUUUGAAAACGGUCAAACCCCUUUGACCAAUUGGAAACAGCGGGAGGUGUAUUUCCAUAAAGCCAUCUAACAGAAAAGGGGUAUAGUUGAGCACUGAUUUUUUAGGGAUAAAGAUGAGCUCGGAACAAAAUUAGGGGGAAAUGAAAUUGAC
rnacentral:lncRNA from 1 species